CCUCCCCCUUUUUCUGUAACUGUCAUAUGAGUCAGGAUCAGCUCUGUGUUUUCAUUACAAAAUAAAUACGGUUAACCUGAAUGCGUCUGUCGUGAAGUCAACCUAACCCUAACCCUAACCCUAACCCUAUCUGAAAGGAACAUAGAAGGGUUACAUGUGAACGGAAUCAGUGAGAUGUGACGCCUUCCUAGAGGAAGCAACUCAACUUUCUUCUUCUCCUGCGAGACGCGAAGGGCACAGCUGCAAAUGUUUAACCUUGGUUGCACAUCCAAUGUUUACACUCUGAGUUGUAUUAAUUGUAGCCACAAACGAACAUGGCUUCCAACGGUUGCAGGGUUUAAUUUGUGUGUUGCACCACAUUGUUUGUGAUUUUUUUAAAAAGAAUAUGUAAUUAUCAAAUAAAAAUGAAAAACAAUCGUC